rnacentral:rRNA from 1 species
UACGGAGGGUGCAAACGUUGCUCGGAAUCAUUGGGCGUAAAGCGUGUGUAGGCGGCUUGUUAAGUCGGGUGUGAAAGCCCUGGGCUCAACCCAGGAAGUGCACUCGAAACUGGCGAGCUUGAGUACGGGAGAGGGUCGCGGAAUUCCCGGUGUAGAGGUGGAAAUUCGUAGAUAUCGGGAGGAACACCAGUGGCGAAGGCGG